AUUGAACGCUGGCGGCAUGCCUUACGCAUGCAAGUCGAACGGCAGCACGGGAGCAAUCCUGGUGGCGAGUGGCGAACGGGUGAGUAAUGUAUCGGAACGUGCCCAGUCGUGGGGGAUAACGUAGCGAAAGCUACGCUAAUACCGCAUACGAUCUGUGGAUGAAAGCGGGGGACCGUAAGGCCUCGCGCGAUUGGAGCGGCCGAUAUCAGAUUAGGUAGUUGGUGGGGUAAAGGCCUACCAAGCCGACGAUCUGUAGCUGGUCUGAGAGGACGACCAGCCACACUGGGACUGAGACACGGCCCAGACUCCUACGGGAGGCAGCAGUGGGGAAUUUUGGACAAUGGGCGCAAGCCUGAUCCAGCAAUGCCGCGUGCAGGAUGAAGGCCUUCGGGUUGUAAACUGCUUUUGUACAGAGCGAAAAGGCUCUCUCUAGUACAGGGGGCUCAUGACGGUACCGUAAGAAUAAGCACCGGCUAACUACGUGCCAGCCGCCGCGGUAA
rnacentral:rRNA from 1 species